CUACACGUGGUGCCGGUGUGCAUGUCCGCCUGACGGAAAGCCUUAAGGUACUCUGUAGUCGCCACCUUGAACUCUCGGGUUCAAGGGCCUACGCUGGCAGCGGCAUGCUGGGGAGCCA
rnacentral:sRNA from 1 species